rnacentral:misc_RNA from 1 species
CCAAUCAAUCUCAUAUACUCAGAAAUCCCAGUUGCAACUGGUCAGUUGAAGAAAUACUAUCAACCUAGAAAGAGUCGACGAACUGUAUCAGUGAUUGUAGAAGGGGAUAAGAUUCCACUGUAUGGAGCUGGAUCAAGUUUAACAGUUUCACAGCCUGGUAUUGUAGUUCCAUUGACACUGAAAUUCGAAAUCCGGUCUCGAGGGAACGUAGUGGGGAAGCUGGUGAGGACGAAGCAUAAAAAGCUAAUCUCUUGCCCUGUAGUUCUUGAUUCCACUAGCUCCAAACCCAUCAAGUUCAAGAAGGGUACAUGUACAUAUGAUUGAUCUCCUUCCUGAAGAGUUAAACCUAUGAUUCAUGUCCUUGUUAGCAUUACGGCUUGUCCGCAGCAGUUUGAGACUUUUGAGUUGCCGAGCUUCACAGAAGAAAUCAGUAGCACUUGGAGAAAAUGCAGCUACUUGAAAUUUCCAUCUCUCUUUGGUUUUAGGUUGUGGUUCAGAUCAUGUGAAAAAUUAAGAAAUCAGUGUUUGAACCUUUGUAUUACUGGCUGUUUGCAUACUGUAUGUAUGAUUAAUGUUGUUGUGGGGUGUCUAAUCAUCGAGUUGAAUAAAC